rnacentral:rRNA from 1 species
GAUGAACGCUGGCGGCGUGCCUAAUACAUGCAAGUCGAGCGAACAGAUAAGGAGCUUGCUCCUUUGACGUUAGCGGCGGACGGGUGAGUAACACGUGGGUAACCUACCUAUAAGACUGGAAUAACUCCGGGAAACCGGGGCUAAUGCCGGAUAACAUGUUGAACCGCAUGGUUCUACAGUGAAAGGCGGCUUUGCUGUCACUUAUAGAUGGACCCGCGCCGUAUUAGCUAGUUGGUGAGGUAACGGCUCACCAAGGCAACGAUACGUAGCCGACCUGAGAGGGUGAUCGGCCACACUGGAACUGAGACACGGUCCAGACUCCUACGGGAGGCAGCAGUAGGGAAUCUUCCGCAAUGGGCGAAAGCCUGACGGAGCAACGCCGCGUGAGUGAUGAAGGUCUUCGGAUCGUAAAACUCUGUUAUUAGGGAAGAACAAAUGCGUGAGUAACUGUGCGCGUCCUGACGGUACCUAAUCAGAAAGCCACGGCUAACUACGUG